ensembl:lncRNA
CCCGGCUCAGCGCUCGGCUCCGCGUUUGCUGCAGCUCCGGGCCGGGCCGGGCUCCGUCCGGGGUCAAGGCCAAGGUGAACGCCGAGAGCGGCGCUGCGCGGCCGCCGUCGGGUCCAGGAGGUGCGGGGGGUCGGAACGGGGCCGCUCGGAGUGAGAAAACCCGAAGGGAUCCGAGCUGGAGAGGAGCUGCGGACGCAGAGGAGCGACUGCCCGCGGGUCGGGCCGCUGAAACUGCGGUUUUCCUCUGAGAUCGCUGAAGGACCUGAGGAGAAGGAUUUCGGUGUCUUUAGGGUGGAUUUGGAGCCCGGACCUCACCAGGAACUGCAGAACAGGGGAUGCGCCCUGGGAGAAGUGCAGCUCCUCCACGCACACAGGAGGAGGGGAACGUCUUCCUCCGGGCUGCCAGCUGGAGUGACACGGCCCUGAAAAACGCUGAGCAAAUGUUUUGGCUCCUGGGCUGCUCUCAGCCUCGCAUUCUGCUUUUGUUCCCACUGCUGCUCGUUGAAGCAGAUCUCCAAACUAAAUGUGAAGGAGCCCAAAUGGGCUCAACGUACCACAGCCUUCAGGGAAGCAGGAGAAAUGGAUGUUGGGGCUCGUUAUGCAGAUAGCUCCUGAAUCAAGGCUACCAGAGGACAAAUAUUAUCUGAAAAGCAAUAUGUGUGGAAACUGAUGCAAUUUUCACAUGCCGAUAAUCACUUCAACCUCAUUUUGCGUGAUUACAUUAUUGCAAAGGGAUUAUGUGCUAUUGAAACUCAAGAUAUCCUCCAGCCUAGAUCGUUUCUCAGAGCCUUCAGCUGACAGUAUUGCUGUCCAUAAUAAUUAUAGCUCAUGAUCAUCUUGCUUUGCCCAGCUGUUAUUGAUAUAACUCAUCAGCUAGACGACGUUCUGAGAUCACACUGAUAAACUGAAAGCUGCGUGCAUACAAAAUAUGAUGGAGUGAAAAAUAAUAAGCCCGCUACAGUGAAUGAUCAUAACAAAGCAAUAGUCCCAUGCAGUGAGACAUGAAAACCUUCAAGGAAGGGAAAUUUAUUAGAAUUGUUUCCAAAAUACACAGUUCAAAGUGGGCAGAACAACAGAAGCUGGGAUUGUCUCAGCAAGGAGCCAAUAAAGACCGGAGGAAUGGAGGAGAUGCUAUUUGAGGUUCUUACAUGAUGGCAUAUCCCAACCAUAUUAACCACUCACAUCUCAGCUCCUGAGGACAAGAGGCACCAAAGAGGGCUGAGAACCCCUGUGUACUUUAUAGCUAAUGGCUGGAACAGGCUGUGUGCUCACGGAAGGACCUUCCUGCAGAAAAACCCCUUUCCCUAUAAUUUCUCUAGCUCUCAUUUCUCAGGAAUUAGAUGACAAAAUGGCUUUUGCUUCCUUCCUCUCCCCAUUUGACUUCCGUGUGGGAAGCACUCCCAAGACAGCCCUAUCCUCCCCCCUUCAAAUAGCAGUGGGGAAGCAGCACGCGUAUCAGUGCAGGAGCUGAUAUGCAAAGCACUUCACAGGCAGAUGCAGUGCAGGCAGCUGAACCUGUGCUUGCCCUUAGCUGAAGGGCAGUGUCGAAACUUCAUUUUCUUUUUGAUUAACCCUCGGAUUAAGUAAUUUAAAAGGAAGGAAAGUGGUUCUGCUGAGUGACACUAAUUUCAGUCUGAUUCAUUUUACAAUGUUGUAAAAACAAUUAUGUGCCUGGCACCCUCCAGAACAUUGAGCACUGCUCAGUAACCAUCAGAUCUACUGAGAUGAAACUGAUGCAGCUUGUUAGAGCAGAAACUUAUUGAAAAUGUGCUUUGCAGCCAGAGCAAGUGGACAGUGGCUUAUUUUUUUUUUGUAGUACAACCUCGGCUGGUUUUCCUCCUCUUAAAUAAAGAGGUGCAGUUCUCAGAUCUCAAGGAUCCGCUAUCCUGGUCAAACUCACUGGUCAGCACUCUGAUGGACCCUCAAAAUUCCAGUUCUCCUGCUUUGAUUUGCUGUUUCCUGACUAUGAUUACAGUGCUGGCCAUUUUAAUCCCUACACCGAUACUCUAAUUGGUCAGAACAAGGCUGUAGAGAUGAAUGUUAUGGGAUCUCCCACUGCCUAAGAGUCAGUAAGGGCUGACACUACUGAGGGGCAUCUUUGCUGUCUGAUCCAGCCCUGUGCCAUUGAUUGUCAGAGCAGGAACCAAGACCAGGUUGAAGCUAUCAAAACUGUCUACACCACAGUGGAGAGAACAAACAAUUUGGUUCUGUUCCUCACUCUGUGGGUCACAGAGGAUGUUAGUGAGAAAUCCAGACACAGAGGUGGUCUUCUGCCAAUUAACACCACGUUCCAUGCCUCAGUUUCCCUACCCACCAUACUGACAUAACAAUCUUUUCCCAAUCCAUCAGUGGUGCUUUGUACAUAUGGUGUUUCUAACAUGCCUUGCUUUAGUUCUGCC